CCUACGGGUGGCAGCAGUGAGGAAUAUUGGUCAAUGGACGAGAGUCUGAACCAGCCAAGUAGCGUGAAGGAUGACUGCCCUAUGGGUUGUAAACUUCUUUUAUAUGGGAAUAAAAUGUUCCAAGAGUGGGAUUUUGUAUGUACCAUAUGAAUAAGGAUCGGCAAACUCAGUGCCAGCAGCCGCGGUAAUACGGAGGAUCCGAGCGUUAUCCGGAUUUAUUGGGUUUAAAGGGAGCGUAGGGGGAUUGUUAAGUCAGUUGUGAAAGUUUGCGGCUCAACCGUAAAAUUGCAGUUGAAACUGGCAGUCUUGAGUACAGUAGAGGUGGGCGGAAUUCGUGGUGUAGCGGUGAAAUGCUUAGAUAUCACGAAGAACUCCGAUUGCGAAGGCAGUUCACUGGACUGCAACUGACACUGAGGCUCGAAAGUGUGGGUAUCAAACAGGAUUAGAUACCCUUGUAGUC
rnacentral:rRNA from 1 species